ensembl:lncRNA
GAGAGCUAUAUAGCAGCGGCAGCGCUCUGGCGUCGCUCAUACUGCCGGAGAGAACGAAACAAACAGAAGUAGAAGUUGCAGUUUGUAACGUGAAGCAAUUCUACGCUUGUAUGAAGUCAUAUCAGUUGGAAAUCACACAUUACGGUCUCCCUGCCAGAGAGAAUUAGCCAGAGUGGGGGUUGAAUGGAGGGGUGGAGGCUGCUCUAUCCAUGCAGCAGGUCAGAUGCCGGGGGACAAGAUUGAGUCUUGCCUCUUCCUCUUUGGCCAGAGAGCUCUACCGAGGGACAAAGGAUGCUGGAAAGAAGAAGCAGAUCAAACCCCAGUUGGCAGUGCAGCGGUCGCCGACGUGGCAGAGUGCGGGAAGGGGAAUCAGAGGAGAAGUAAGAGGUUGCAGCAUGAGAUCAUAGGAGUCACACUGAGGUAGGAAUGAAAUUAUAUCACUAGUGGGAAUUGUCCCAAUUAGGUUGGACUGGAGCGCUGCCACUGAGAUGAAAACGUCCACUUGCAUUAGACUGGCCCUCUUGUAGACGAGCCGAGAUUCCCCUUCACUUGGCCUGUGUUGUUCUGCCUCAUUCAGCCUCACUUCUCUUUCUUGUCUAGGCGCAUGCACUGAAAUGACCCUGACCUCUAACACCUUUGCUCUUGCAUGAGAGAACACCUUUUUGUGGCUUUGGAUGGAAGAAGCGAGUGUAGGAGAAGAGAAAUGAAGAGCAUGGUGCCGUCCUUCACCAUUAUUAUCGGGUUUUUGGAAGGGGCUCUGCAAUGGCACAAAAAAAGGUCCUCUUUGAAAAGAAGGUUUUCAGAUUCGGACCCCUUGAGAACAGAAUGAUUAAUUUAGCACAAGGAAUAAUACUUUGGAUGAUAAAGGGAAUACAUUUAUCUUUUUGCUUUCAUCCUGACUGUGUGCGGGAGAGCCCAGGAAACCUUGAGGGAAAUUGAACCGUACAGAUUCAGUCUGGAAUUCUUUCAAAUGGUUCCAAAGCCAUGAGAGUGCGCUGGAUCAUCUCUGGUUUAGCAUCCACCAGAUCCAGUCUGUAUCCAGAUCAGAGGGUCACUGCAGUCACCCGGAUCCAGUACGUAUCCAGCCCAGAUGGUGGAUCAGCACCUAGAAAGGACCUCUACAGCCCUGAAAGACAGCGGAGGCCUGGACAACUAGAUGAGCCGCAGAGACAGAUCCCCUGUGAAGACCUUGUCUCAGACGACCAUCAGGACAAGACCACAGGAAACAGAUGAUUCUUCUGCACAAUCUGACUUUGCUGCAGCCUGGAAUUGAACUGCUGGUUUCAUCUGGCCAGAGGAGAACUGGCCCCCCGAAUGAGCCUGGUUUCUUCCAAGGUUUUUUCUCCAUUCUGUCACCGAUGGAGUUUUGGUUCCUUGCCACUGUCACCUCUGGCUUGCUUGUUGCUUGCUAGUUGGGGACACUUCAUUU